GACGAACGCUGGCGGCGUGCUUAACACAUGCAAGUCGAACGGAAAGGCCCUGCUUUUGUGGGGUGCUCGAGUGGCGAACGGGUGAGUAAAACGUGAGUAACCUGCCCUUGACUUUGGGAUAACUUCAGGAAACUGGGGCUAAUACCGGAUAGGAGCUCCUGAUGCAUGGUGGGGGUUGGAAAGUUUCGGCGGUUGGGGAUGGACUCGCGGCUUAUCAGCUUGUUGGUGGGGUAGUGGCUUACCAAGGCUUUGACGGGUAGCCGGCCUGAGAGGGUGACCGGCCACAUUGGGACUGAGAUACGGCCCAGUCUCCUACGGGAGGCAGCAGUGGGGAAUAUUGCACAAUGGGCGGAAGCCUGAUGCAGCAACGCCGCGUGCGUGAUGACGGCCUUCGGGUUGUAAACCGCUUUCGCCUGUGACGAAGCGUGAGUGACGGUAAUGGGUAAAGAAGCACCGGCUAACUACGUG
rnacentral:rRNA from 1 species